UAUAUAAAGGGAAAGGUACUACUACCCCCACACAGAUACAAUAGGAAAGGUACUACUACCCCCACACAUAUAUAAAGGGAAAGGUACUACUACCCCCACACAGAUACAAUAGGAAAGGUACUACUACCCCCACACAUAUAUAAAGGGAAAGGUACUACUACCCCCACACAGAUACAAUAGGAAAGGUACUACUACCCCCACACAUAUAUAAAGGGAAAGGUACUACUACCCCCACACAGAUACAAUAGGAAAGGUACUACUACCCCCACACAUAUAUAAAGGGAAAGGUACUACUACCCCCACACAGAUACAAUAGGAAAGGUACUACUACCCCCACACAUAUAUAAAGGGAAAGGUACUACUACCCCCACACAGAUACAAUAGGAAAGGUACUACUACCCCCACACAUAUAUAAAGGGAAAGGUACUACUACCCCCACACAGAUACAAUAGGAAAGGUACUACUACCCCCACACAUAUAUAAAGGGAAAGGUACUACUACCCCCACACAGAUACAAUAGGAAAGGUACUACUACCCCCACACAUAUAUAAAGGGAAAGGUACUACUACCCCCACACAGAUACAAUAGGAAAGGUACUACUACCCCCACACAUAUAUAAAGGGAAAGGUACUACUACCCCCACACAGAUACAAUAGGAAAGGUACUACUAC